UUUUUUCAGAUUGUCUAUAUUUAACUACAUUGUAUUUUAUGAAAAAUAACUUCUUAGUAAAUAAAGUGUUAUCUAUUACUUAGCGGCGAACGGGUGAGUAACGCGUAGGAAUUUUUUUCAAGUUUGGCAUAGCUAGUCGAAAGAUUAGGUAAUUCCAAAUGUGACCGCAAGGUUAAAGAUUUAUCGCUUGAAACAAAGCCUGCGUCCCAUCAGCUAGUUGGUAAGGUAAAAGCUUACCAAGGCUAAGACGGGUAGCUGGUCUGAGAGGACGAUCAGCCACAUUGGGACUGAGACACGGCCCAAACACCUACGGGUGGCAGCAGUGGGGAAUUUUCGGCAAUGGACGCAAGUCUGACCGAGCUAUGCCGCGUGCAGGAUUAAGGCCUUCGGGUCGUAAACUGCUUUUAUUGAUUACUAACAAAUGAAGAAUCAUUGAAUAAGGAGUUGCAAACUCUGUGCCAGCAGCAGCGGUAAUACAGAGACUCCAAGCGUUAUCCGGUUUUAUUGGGCGUAAAGCGUUCCGAUUGGUGGCUAGAUGUGUCCAAAGUUAAAAACUGCAGCUUAACUGUAUGUUCGCUUUGGAAACUAUCUAACUAGAAGAAUAAAGAGGUAGCUGGAAUUAUACAAGUAGGGGUGAAAUCCGCUGAUAUGUAUGAGAACACCAAAAGCGAAGGCAGGCUACUAAUUAUUACUUGACACUGCUAGGACGAAAGCGUGGGGAGCAAUACGGAUUAGAUACCCGUGUAGUCCACGCCCUAAACGAUGAGUGCUUGCUAUUAGGAAAAAUCAAUCUUUCUUGGUGGCAAAAGCUAACGCUGUAAGCACUCCGCCUGUAUAGUACGGCCGCAAGGCUAAAACACAAAGGAAUUGACGGGAACCCGCACAAGUGGUGGAUCAUGUGGCUUAAUUCGACUUUAAGCGGGGCACCUCACCUAGGUUUGACAUGUAUUUGCAAAUCCUAUGAAAGUAGGACUCCUUCGAGGGUAAUACACAGAUGAUGCACGGUCGUCGUCAGCUCGUGUCGUGAGAUGUUCGGUUCAGUCCGAUAACGAGCGCAACCCUAAUCUUUAGUUAUUUAAUGUCUAAAGAGACUGCCUGGGUUUAACCAGGAGGAAGGAUGGGAUGACGUCAGAUCAGCGUGUCUCUUACACCUAGGGCAGCACACAUGAUACAAUGGGAAUAGUACAACAAGUCCGCUAAAUCGUAAGAUCAAGCAAAUCUCCAAAACUACCCCCAGUUCGGAUUGAGGUCUGCAACUCGACCUCAUGAAGUCGGAAUCACUAGUAAUCGCGAAUCAGCCUCGUCGCGGUGAAUACGUUCUCGGGUUUUGUACACACUGCCCGUCAAGGUCUGGAAAUUGAAUGUGCCCCAAACUCUGAAAUUUUUCAGAAUAAAGGCAAAGUCAGUAACUGGAUUUAAGUCGUAACAAGGCAUCCGUAGCGGAAGCUGUGGAUG
rnacentral:rRNA from 1 species